UACGGGGGGGGCAAGCGUUGUUCGGAAUUACUGGGCGUAAAGGGCUCGUAGGCGGCCAACUAAGUCGGAUGUGAAAUCCCCAGGCUCAACCUGGGAACUGCAUCCGAUACUGGAUGGCUUGAAUCCGGGAGAGGGAUGUGGAAUUCCAGGUGUAGCGGUGAAAUGCGUAGAUAUCUGGAGGAACACCGGUGGCGAAGGCGACAUCCUGGACCGGUAUUGACGCUGAGGCGCGAAAGCCAGGGGAGCAAACGGG
rnacentral:rRNA from 1 species